rnacentral:rRNA from 1 species
GACUAGUGGCGGACGGGUGAGUAACGCGUGGGAACGUGCCCCUUGGUACGGAAUAGCCCCGGGAAACUGGGAGUAAUACCGUAUGUGGUCGAGAGACGAAAGAUUUAUCGCCAAGGGAUCGGCCCGCGUUGGAUUAGGUAGUUGGUGGGGUAAUGGCCUACCAAGCCGACGAUCCAUAGCUGGUUUGAGAGGAUGAUCAGCCACACUGGGACUGAGACACGGCCCAGACUCC